UCAACACCCAAUCCAGUUUCCAGAAAAUGUUAGUUUGCUUACUCCCAGAGUGGGAUUUGUCUGUUUCCUGAAUGGUUUCUGCACUGGACAGGCCUUGAGGGGCUGGCAACCACAGUACAUGCUAGAUGACUAGAAAGAAGGUUUCCAGUCCCCAUCUUUCUCUUCUUUUCUGCUCAGCACUCCUGCAGAAGCAUAGGAAAGUGAGGCUAUUUAUUGGUGAUUUAUUCACAGGGACAUUCCUGUGCUCCCUGCUCUUUCCCCCUCUGUUUGAGUAGGACUCCCCAAGAAAGUACUUCUUAGAUCAUUUAUUUUUAAUAGGGUGUGAACAGCUGAGAUGGUGUGGCUGUGCCUUGGUUCCCAGUACUUUUGUACUCUUUUUUGGACCUUCUAUCAUGUCAGAAACCCAUUACCCCAGUCUAAUUCUAAGACAUCAGACAAACCCCAACUGAGGCACAUUCUACAAAAUAUCUCAUUGGUAUUCCUCAAAACUGCCAAGAUCAUCAAAAGCAAGGGAAGUCUGAGAAAUCUCACAGCCCACAGGAACCUAAAGAGACAUUACAACCAAAUGCAAUGUGAUGUCUUGGAUGGGAUCUUGAAAUGGAAAAAGUACAUGAGGAAAUCUGAAUAAACUAUAAAUUUUAAUUAAUAACAAUGUGUCAAUAUUAGUUCAUUUAUUAUAACAAAUGUACCCUACUAAUGUAGAAUGUUAGCAAUCGGGGAAUUGGGGUACCAAGUGCUGAGGAAACUCUGUGUUAUCUUCACAAUCUUUCUGGGGUUCUAAAACUGUUCUAAAAACUGAAGUUUAUUUCAAAAAAAACCCUGUCCAGAUUAUGUGUUUCUAAUUAAGUCAUUUGACUCGUUCACGCCUGAGUGGAGUUGCUUUGUCAUUUUGAAACCGA
rnacentral:lncRNA from 1 species